UUGCAUCACUUCAUUCUUUAUUGAGUGACGCAAAUGACUACUCUAUUUAACCCACUUAGCGCUUCUUCCCCUUAAGAACUCCGUAUAAAAAACCUCUAGCUGCCUUGCCGCUGUUUGAACUUCAAAACCCUAGCAAAUUCUACAACAAACCCCCAAAUUUCAACAGCAAAAGUGAAAAACCUCCGGAAAUUCAACCAACCUUACCGGAAUUCGACCUAAAAUCAACAAAUUUGGCCACUAAGAGAAAACCCCCAUCAAAUCCAAGCCCGAACCCUCCAUUUUCGAGCAAAAAUCAACCCGAAACCCCCCACGAAAUUUUGAAUUAGUAUAAAAAUUGCAGAUGUUCGAGAAAAAAUACCCUAAAUCGAACAAAUAACGACUGAAAAUCAAAUGAAAAGCUGAUAUUAAUUUUUCCCCCAAAAAUCUGAAUAAAUUUGAGCAAUAACGACUCGGUUCUCUUGCAUUUAGACUCUACAUUUGGUGAAUUUGUGAAGUCGAUUUUACCCAAGGUGCAGCAGAUGGUUGGUGGUUAGUGGCGGUGGUGUGGCUUGGUACAGCGGCAAUUUGUUGCGGAGAGCUUUUUUGUUGUUGAGGUGUUUGUGAAUUGCAGGGGAGAAGGUAUUUUUAGAACACUUAUACUGGGGAGGAGAUAAAUGUGGUUCAAGAUAUUUGGUCAGACGAUUUUAUGAUCAAUGUUGAAAUUUAGAAUUUAACUUAGCUAACUCCAUUUAUGUGUUAGACUUUUUUGUUUAGUUCUUAGGCUUGAAAUGAAUGUAAUUGGGUUACCAACAUUUUGGGUUUGUCUUUGUUCUUGUGUUGGUUAAUGAUACCAAUAAUUUUGAGUUGUAAACUUUUUGACAGGAUAUUAGUGUAUACAUUGCCGUCAUUCCCAAAUUUAUGGGUUGGCCAAAAUACAAAGGAAACUCUGCCGAAAUGUAUACGUGAUUUGAUUAA